rnacentral:rRNA from 1 species
UACGAAGGGGGCUAGCGUUGUUCGGAUUUACUGGGCGUAAAGCGCACGUAGGCGGCUUUGUAAGUUAGAGGUGAAAGCCCGGGGCUCAACCCCGGAAUUGCCUUUAAGACUGCAUCGCUAGAAUUGUGGAGAGGUAAGUGGAAUUCCGAGUGUAGAGGUGAAAUUCGUAGAUAUUCGGAAGAACGCCAGUGGCGAAGGCGACUUACUGGACACAUAUUGACGCUGAGGUGCGAAAGCGUGGGGAGCAAACAGG